AUUGAACGCUGGCGGCAGGCCUAACACAUGCAAGUCGAGCGGAUGAGAAGAGCUUGCUCUUCGAUUCAGCGGCGGACGGGUGAGUAAUGCCUAGGAAUCUGCCUGGUAGUGGGGGACAACGUUUCGAAAGGAACGCUAAUACCGCAUACGUCCUACGGGAGAAAGCAGGGGACCUUCGGGCCUCGCGCUAUCAGAUGAGCCUAGGUCGGAUUAGCUAGUUGGUGAGGUAAUGGCUCACCAAGGCGACGAUCCGUAACUGGUCUGAGAGGAUGAUCAGUCACACUGGAACUGAGACACGGUCCAGACUCCUACGGGAGGCAGCAGUGGGGAAUAUUGGACAAUGGGCGAAAGCCUGAUCCAGCCAUGCCGCGUGUGUGAAGAAGGUCUUCGGAUUGUAAAGCACUUUAAGUUGGGAGGAAGGGCAGUAAGCUAAUACCUUGCUGUUUUGACGUUACCGACAGAAUAAGCACCGGCUAACUCUGUGCCAGCAGCCGCAGUAACAC
rnacentral:rRNA from 1 species